AGAUUUCGAGUUCAAAUGGAUAUAUAGAAUUGGAGAGGUCAGAGACCAACAAUCGUGGACAUUUUCAAACAGGUUCACAAAGAACGAAUUUAUCACAAGGUUCAAGUGGAUAUUCCCAUGCAGGGCCAAUUCAUAUUGAAAGAAUUCAAGAAAAUCCACAAG